rnacentral:lncRNA from 1 species
CAGAGAAGUCUCCAAAGUUUUAUAAUAGAUGGUCACAUAUCGUCUUCAGAGAUGACAGUGAUGCUCACAUUGCUGAUUAUCUAUCUCAACUCCUUGAGGCAUGGCUUUUUUCUUAAAAACAAAAAACCAGGGGCUGGGGCUUUAGCUCAGUGGUAGAGCACUUGCCUAGCAAGUGCUAGGUUUGGUUCUCAACACCACAUAUAAAUAAAUAAAGGUCCAUCAACAAACGAAAAAUAAAUAAAUAAAUAGAAACCCAAAGAACUCAAGGAGUGGAAGGAGGAGAGGGAGGGUGGAAGUGUUGGAGAGUGAUAUUGGUUAAAUUUUAUUGUUAUAUUGUGUGCAUGUAUAAAUAUGUAAUAACAAAUCCCUUCACUAUAUACAGCUUUUAUACACCAAUAAAAAUGUAGGGUCAGAACAAGGGGCUGUGGGUGUGUUUCAGUGGACCAUGCACAGGUCCUGGGUUUCAUCCCCAGCACCACAAAAACAAACAGUAACCCAAAGACCAAAUGAGAGACUUAAUGCACGUGCCACUGGCCAUGUGUAAUAGAACUGUACACCUGCACUGGGCUUUGGUCACAGAUUGGGCCCAACACACCCAGAUGCACAGGUGCAGCUAUUUGCUGAGAAGAUGGCAAAUGAAGACCACUUGCAAUAAACCUUUUUUUUUUUUUUUUUUGGUGUACUGAGCAUUGAACCAAGGGGCGUGUUACCAUUGACCACCAUCCCCAAUCUUUUUUUUGUACCAAGGAUUGAACUCAGGAGCACUUAACCACUGAGACACAUCCCCUUUAUAUUUAUUUAGAAAUAGGGUCUCGCUGAGUUGCUGAGCCCCAAUCCUUUUUAUUUUGAGACAGGGUCUUGCUAAGUUGCUGAGGGUCUCACCAAAUUGCUGAGGCUGGCCUCCAACUUGU